rnacentral:rRNA from 1 species
UACGGGGGGAGCAAGCGUUGUUCGGAUUUACUGGGCGUAAAGGGCGCGUAGGCGGUCAGCACAAGUCAGUUGUGAAAUCUCCGGGCUUAACCCGGAAAGGUCAACUGAUACUGUGCGACUAGAGUGCGGAAGGGGCAACUGGAAUUCUCGGUGUAGCGGUGAAAUGCGUAGAUAUCGAGAGGAACACCUGCGGCGAAGGCGGGUUGCUGGGCCGACACUGACGCUGAGGCACGAAAGCGUGGGGAGCAAACAGG